rnacentral:lncRNA from 1 species
GUUGGAGUGCAGUGGCACAAUCACAGCUCACUGUAACCUUGAAUUCCUGGGCUCAAGUGAUCAUCUGGCUUCAGCCUCCCAAACUGCUGGGACUACAGGUGUGAGCCACUAUGCCUGGCCAGAGCUUUUUUUCAGACAUCUUCUAUCUACUUUUACUAGGUAAUGUUCUCACAUAGUACAAAAUUCAAAAGGUGCAAAUGGGUCAGAGUGGAGAGUACAUCUUGCUUCUUUUAUUGUAUAGCCUUCCAGAGAGAACUUAUCUAUGCCUAGUAGGCAUAUAUGUGUUUAUAUAUUUAUAUACAUAUUUAGAUAUUUAGAUUGGUAGAUGAUAGAUCAUUUAAAUUUUUUUUUGCAAAAACAGGUCCAUACUAGCUGCACUUAUUUCUAGGAAGCACUUUCCAUCAGCCAGAGAGAUAGAAAUGAGGUGUGGGGAGGUAAAAAGGAAGUGACCUGUCCCACAGUGAAUCUGCAGAAAAGCCAGUGAAGACCAGGUGGAUGAAAAUGAGGCUGGGGCCAUGCCCAUGGGGAGAUGUUGGACGAUGCUUGAGUGCAAGAUGGCAGCAGGCCGGGAGAGGCCCAGAAGAGAACUCACCACGCCGUGGGGGUGAGUAGCGGGAGGGACAGCAGCAUGUGCAUCCCCCAAAGGCCUCCAGUUUGUUUGUAAAGUCUCAGGCAGGAAUCUGCCCUUGUGAUCCUGAGGCCUCAUGUUUCAGGGCUCAAAGCUGGCCCUGGGGACAGGAGGUGGCAACUGGUGUCUGACCCCCUAAACCUGGUGCCUCCACUGAUCAACAGACCAGAUAAGGGACAGGUCACCCCCUGACCUUAGGGCCUUGAGGCCCAGGGCGGGGAGUGGGUGGUGGUGCUGCAGUUAGAGGAUCCCAUUCUCAGGACAGUAAACCCUCGAAAGAACUUCUCACCCACUAUUUUCCAAGCUUUAGUCACUUGCAUUCUGCUUUCAUAAUGUUGACCAUUUCCAAGUUCCCUUGUAUUUUUAAACUUAAAAUAAAG